rnacentral:tRNA from 1 species
GAGGGUAUAGCUCAAGUGGUAGAGUGCAUGCUUAGCAUGCACAAGGCACUAGGUUCAAUUCCCAGUACCUCCU